AGGUACUGCAGGCACUUAAACAGAGUGCCACUGGCUGAGUUCUGCAGGGAGCUGGUCCUACACCCUCACCUUAUGGCUUCCUUCAGACCUUGGAUCCCUACCAGGAGCUGCAUCUGCGUCUUGCCUGCCCUGGGCCCCCCUCCAUUUGUAAACAGGGUCCCCAUCUCAGACAGAGCCACUACAAGCUCAGGAUUCUCUGCAUUUUAAAGUUAAAAGCUCAUAAGUUCUUCUGCCAUUUGGGUGGCGACCUGAGCUGAUGCUGUCCUGGCCAGUGUUUGGGAGCCUCUUUCUAUAGCAUCUGAAUGUGCUCACACCCCCUUCUCCCUGCCUCACUCAGCCACCGUCUUAGCAUCCACAGAAGUUUGGCAGGUGCUGAGAGAGUUAACAAGCCAGCAUGCACCAAACCAACCCGCAGGCAGGCACGUGGCUAAGCAGUCCAGCAAAGGAUGCUGCAGGGCCACCCCGGUUGAACCGGGGCUCCUAGGACAUUAGUGAGUUGGUACAAUGCUAAACUCUCUUUAACCCUUCCUCUUGAGGAGAUGUCUCUCUUUCUUCCCACCUGCCCUCACUUCCUAGGAGCUCAGGGUAUAGGCAGGUAAGCAGUCACUCCCUCCUCCCCCCCCACCCCCCUUUUCCCCCUUUCUUCGGGUUCUGUCCAAACAUCCUUUCAGGCAAAGGGGGAUGGGGAGCCCCAGACAGAUGAGCUCAUUGGAAGGAGGAGAGUAGAGGGAGGAGGGAGCCAAACCAUCCCGAGCAGAGACAUGCUGGCCGGACAGUCCCAAGCUGGAGAGGGGUGUGUGGCCACUCCUAGAAGCAGCUGAGAAAUGGGCCAUGGGAUAAGAAGCAAGCAGGUUUUCCCUGUGGUCUCCUGAAGUAUUAGUAUUUGAUAGCUCUGGAUCUACCUCAAUUUCGAAAUAUAAAAGGAAGGUUUCGGGAAUCUAGGGACAGGAGAGAGAUGUGGGUUUGCCCUUUCUCCUCAGUUCUAGCUGCCAAGCCCAGUAUGGGAACCAAAUGGAACAAAUCAAAGUUGGACAUAUCAAAGCUUCCGCACUAUGCCCUCGGAGGACCAAGCUGCCCCACCCAUUCUUAAGCUUCUACUCCAAUUAGUUUCAAACCCAGAACAAUGGUUGUGAAAUCACCGUCCAUCCACCUGACUCUGUAUCCUGAAGGCCAUGCAGAAGAAGGCCAUUCUCCAAUACACACACUGUUUAAGGAAGUAGAAAUGGGCUUCUUAGCCCAAGAAAGAAUUUAACUCAAUAAGCCACACAUGAAGUUUCUUCCUCUAUGAGGACCUCAGCUGUGGAAAGCCUAAGACUCUGCUCUGUCCAGGGGAGGAUGCUGCCUCCAACGUAAUCUUUGUUUAGCAUCAACAGAUGUUUUCUGUGGCUCCCAAAGAGCACAAAGAGAGAUCUAGUGACUCUUUUCCAUGGUUCACCAGAAGCAAACAGAAUGAACGAAUAACAAUCGUGUCAUGUUUGAAGGGCUUGGGGAAUCAUUUAAAAAUGUAUCCCUACUUGAGGAAAAAAAAUCAGACGUCAGAGAUUCAAGCUACUGUAGUGGGUUUAAUCCCAGCACUCCAGGGGCUGAUACAGAAAGAUCUAAGAUCCAGUCCAAUGGAGAGCUUGAAAGCACAAGGCAGACCAGGCUGCUCCCCAUCCUCACCAGCCCGCACACCACUUCUGGGAGAAGUCCGAGGUCUCCCUCCCCUCAUCAGUGCCUGGUUAUCCGGAGCAGUUCAGCCUUCCUGCCAGACUCCAAACCCUCCGUCUUCAGCCUUUUGAUGGAGGCCAAGACCAGAUGGAAUGCACAAGUCUAAAAUAGCUGGCACAGUAGUCCCAGGGACCAUCAAAAAGAGUCUCUCCUCCUUCUCAGAAAGUUUGCUCGGUUUUGGAAAUUCCCCAAGGUGACUUUUUUUUUUUUUCUUUUCAACCACAUUACUUGGAUCUGACUGAAGAGCGGACCAAACUGGAUGCUUUGGGGGAAGAAGGCCAAACUGGAUUCUGUGGAGGAAGAGAAGAUUAAAAAACAAACACAUUUAUACACAGUUAGGGACUGGGGAUAAGGCUUAGCAGUGGAGUCUAGCAUGUGGAAAGCCCUAGGUUCAAUCCCCAUCACUGGGGGGAAAAAAAAAAGUUAAAAAAAUAAUAGUAGCAGCCUUUCACUGUGAUUUUCCUUAUAUGUUGGGUAAAAUACUAAAUUCUAC